rnacentral:rRNA from 1 species
CCUACGGGGGGCAGCAGUGGGGAAUCUUCCGCAAUGGGCGAAAGCCUGACGGAGCAACGCCGCGUGAUCGAAUGAAGGCCUUCGGGUUGUAAAGAUCUGUUGACAGGGACGAAUAAGCAAUGCAAAUAGUUUUGUGUAUGACGGUACCUGUUUAGAAAGCUCCGGCUAACUACGUGCCAGCAGCCGCGGGAAUACGUAGGGAGCAAGCGUUGUCCGGAAUUACUGGGCGUAAAGGGCGCGUAGGUGGGCGCUUAAGGUAGGUGUGAAAACUCCGGGCUGAACCUGGGGACUGCACGUGAAACUGGGUGUGUAGAGGGCAGGAGAGGGAAGUGGAAUGCAUGGUGUAGC